GACUUUUCAUAGUAGGACAUAUACUAAAUUUGAAACGAUACAUAGAAGAUUAGCAUGGCCCCUGCGCAAGGAUAUCUGUGAUUAUUUCAAGAAAUCAACCAAAAAUUU